rnacentral:rRNA from 1 species
UACGGAGGGUGCAAGCGUUAUCCGGAUUCACUGGGUUUAAAGGGUGCGUAGGUGGGGUGGUAAGUCAGUGGUGAAAUCUCCAGGCUUAACUUGGAAACUGCCAUUGAUACUAUCAUUCUUGAAUACCGUGGAGAUGAGCGGAAUAUGUCAUGUAGCGGUGAAAUGCUUAGAUAUGACAUAGAACACCGAUAGCGAAGGCAGCUUGCUACACAAUCAUUGACACUGAGGCACGAAAGCGUGGGGAUCAAACAGG